GAUGAACGCUGGCGGCGUGCUUAACACAUGCAAGUCGAACGAUGAAGCCCAGCUUGCUGGGUGGAUUAGUGGCGAACGGGUGAGUAACACGUGAGUAACCUGCCCUUGACUCUGGGAUAAGCCUGGGAAACUGGGUCUAAUACUGGAUAUGACUUCUCAUCGCAUGGUGGGGGGUGGAAAGAUUUAUUGGUCUUGGAUGGACUCGCGGCCUAUCAGCUUGUUGGUGAGGUAAUGGCUCACCAAGGCGACGACGGGUAGCCCGCCUGAGAGGGUGACCGGCCACACUGGGACUGAGACACGGCCCAGACUCCUACGGGAGGCAGCAGUGGGGAAUAUUGCACAAUGGGCGCAAGCCUGAUGCAGCGACGCCGCGUGAGGGAUGACGGCCUUCGGGUUGUAAACCUCUUUCAGCAGGGAAGAAGCGAGAGUGACGGUACCUGCAGAAGAAGCGCCGGCUAACUACGUG
rnacentral:rRNA from 1 species